GUCUUCGUAGUGCAGAGGUCAGCACGCUCGGAUCGUACUCGAAUGGUCCGUGGUUAGAGUCCCGGCGAGGGCA
rnacentral:tRNA from 1 species